GGGACCCGUCUUGAAACACGGACCAAGGAGUCUAGCAUGUGCGCGAGUCAUUGGGACUCUAACUAAACCUAAAGGCGGAAUGAAAGUGAAGGUCCGCCUAGCGCGGACCGAGGGAGGAUGGAUUGUUCCACGGGACAGUCUCGCACUCCCGGGGCGUCUCGUUCUCAUCGCGAGAAGAGGCGCACCCAGAGCGUACACGCUGGGACCCGAAAGAUGGUGAACUAUGCCUGGUCAGGACGAAGUCAGGGGAAACCCUGAUGGAGGUCCGUAGCGAUUCUGACGUGCAAAUCGAUCGUCGGAACUGGGUAUAGGGGCGAAAGACUAAUCGAACCAUCUAGUAGCUGGUUCCCUCCGAAGUUUCCCUCAGGAUAGCUGGCGCUCGCUUCUCGCGAGUCUCAUUCGGUAAAGCGAAUGAUUAGAGGCAUUGGGGUCGAAACGGCCUCAACCUAUUCUCAAACUUUAAAUGGGUGAGAUCUCCGGCUUGCUUGAACUGUGAAGCCGCGAGAUAUCGGAUCAGAGUGCCAAGUGGGCCACUUUUGGUAAGCAGAACUGGCGCUGUGGGAUGAACCAAACGCAGAGUUAAAGCGCCUAAAUCGACGCUUAUGGGAUACCAUGAAAGGCGUUGGUAACUUAAGACAGCAGGACGGUGGCCAUGGAAGUCGGAAUCCGCUAAGGAGUGUGUAAA
rnacentral:rRNA from 1 species